CGGUGUUUAACUGGCGUGAUGUGGGACGUCCUACCGGUGGGCUUAGCCUCGCGAGGGGCGGCCCAACUAAUAUCCCGUCGCGGUGCUCUUUACUGAGUGUCGAGUCGGGCCGGUACGUUUACUUUGAACAAAUUAGAGUGCUUAAAGCAGGCUAUCCUCGCCUGAAUACUGCGUGCAUGGAAUAAUGGAAUAGGACCUCGGUUCUAUUUUGUUGGUUUUCGGAACCCCGAGGUAAUGAUUAAUAGGGACAGAUGGGGGCAUUCGUAUUGCGACGUUAGAGGUGAAAUUCUUGGAUCGUCGCAAGACGGACAGAAGCGAAAGCAUUUGCCAAAAAUGUUUUCAUUAAUCAAGAACGAAAGUUAGAGGUUCGAAGGCGAUCAGAUACCGUCCUAGUUCUAACCAUAAACGAUGCCAGCUAGCGAUCCGCCGAAGUUCCUCCGAUGACUCGGCGGGCAGCUUCCGGGAAACCAAAGCUUUUGGGUUCCGGGGGAAGUAUGGUUGCAAAGCUGAAACUUAAAGGAAUUGACGGAAGGGCACCACCAGGAGUGGAGCCUGCGGCUUAAUUUGACUCAACACGGGAAACCUCACCAGGCCCAGACACCGGAAGGAUUGACAGAUUGAUAGCUCUUUCUUGAUUCGGUGGGUGGUGGUGCAUGGCCGUUCUUAGUUGGUGGAGCGAUUUGUCUGGUUAAUUCCGAUAACGAACGAGACUCUAGCCUGCUAAAUAGGCGUACCUUAUGGUAUCGCGAAGGCCCCCGGCUUCGGCCGGUGGGUUUUUACUACCAACGUACAAACAAAUCUUCUUAGAGGGACAGGCGG
rnacentral:rRNA from 1 species